CAUUUCAAUUGGUUUUGAACUAUUGAGGAUCAUUCCAAGUUUCCAACCCAUUCUGAGAUAAUGGCGCAUUCCACUUAGGAGGGUCACCCGCCUAAGAUAUCUCCAAGUGGGAUAGUCUACAUCAUAAUUUGUUGCUGAUGGGGUACGCGUUCGCGUGGCCCCUGU